GACGAACGCUGGCGGCGUGCCUAAUACAUGCAAGUCGAGCGAACUUUUUCUGAUCUUUCUUCUGUGAUGAUUUCGCCGCACGGGGGUGUAUCACAUGUAUAACCCCUGUCUCAUACUCUGAUAACUUUGUUAAACCGGAUCUCUUAUCCCAUAUAAUUUUGUUCCCUAUGUUUUUAAUGUUUAAGACUUUCUUUUUGUCACUUAUUGAUGUAUCUUCGCUGUAUUAGCUAGUUGGUAUGGUAAAGGCUUACCAAGGCAACGAUGCAUAGCCGACCUGAGAGGGUGAUCGGCCACACUGGAACUGAGACACGGUCCAGACUCCUACGGGAGGCAGCGGUAGGGAAUCUUCCGCAAUGGGCGAAAGCCUGACGGAGCAACGCCGCGUGAGUGAAGAAGGACUUCGGAUCGUAAAACUCUGUUAUUAGGGAAGAACAAAUGUGUAAGUAACAGAGAAAAUAGAGACGGUACCUAAUCAGAAAGCCACGGCUAACUACGUG
rnacentral:rRNA from 1 species